GCCGGCUGCGCAUGAGUUCAUCUGUUCGGCGACCCGUCUGUUUUGGCUGUAGCCCGUUUGUUGGCCUCCCCGCGUUUUCUUGCGUUCCUUCUGCAUUUCGACACGGCACCACAUGCACUAUUGGACUACGGCAAGUUUCUGUUCCGAAUCGUUUACGUCAGGGUGCCACUCUGCGCCAAACGCUGUAAGUAUGCCUGCUGCGUUUCCCCUCGCUGGCGUUAAGGGAUUGCAGGCCCCGCACACAACAAAUAGCCACAGAAGGCGAAAAAAUCGACCGCACGCCGCUGCUAACAAAGCGAGCACAGUAGAAUCACUUCGGGAUGCUUAUGUUAGUUCCAACAUUUCCCGCUAGAGGCACCGUAAUAAGCGCGAUUUCAUUUUACAAACUUUCUCUUACAUUUACCGAAGCAUUUUUAUUACAUAAUAAAUAGGGCAAAAUUAUCAUUGCUAAUUAGACAUUGUACUGUUUGUUAGUAAGAAUAUUGUUUAUCUGACAUUAUAGACGCAAAUAGCGUUCAGCAUCAUCGAUCUUUCACGUGACCUCUGGCCUGAAUUAAAUAUUUUUACCGGUUUUGAGUACACGGCGGAACGGAUUCAUUCGUUCGUACACUCACUGGUUGCUUCUUUGUUGCUAAAACUAGAUUAUUGCGCUUCGAUGUCUCGCCUUAUUUACCUUGGGGUGAAGUGACGUGUUUGCAAGUGGACAUGUAAGACCGAAAGUUCGGUUUCGGUCGUCAGCCAUUCGGAACAAGUUUGCAUCGAAACGGGAGCUGGAAUCUGCUGCGGCUGGCAACGGCAAUAACGGUGAGUCGUUUAACACCGCUGCUUUAAUCAUUAUAUAAUACCCGUCUCAUUAGCUAGCAGGCGAGGACAAGUUAACGAACUAGAUCCUGCAUUACGUAUGGGCAGUCAGGAUCCUCAGUUGCUGUUUUCUAUCUAAACCUUUGCUUGCGAGGCUGUCGUUAUACAGACAAAAUCAGGAAAGAAAGAGCGACAUCGGAACGCGCGUCUCAUUUUUCAUCUAGUAGCCUUAUCAAUAUCUAUAUAAAGCUAUCUUUCGAAUCCGACGGCAACUUCUUUCGUCCACAAAACGGAAUAAUGCUUUGGUAAAAUGAACUGAAAGUACAAAAUUUAAAGUACUGAACAGUUGCAAGCAUGAUAAUUCACCCAUAUUUUGUAUUUGUUGGUUCCAAACGUUCUUGCUGUUCAGUUCGGUUUACCGUAGGACCUUUAUUUUUGCAGUAGUGAAGUGCUGCAUCACGUUCGUACAGGAAAGUAAUGCAUUAGUUUGAAUAGCUUCAUGACUCAUGCAUAUGCUUGUAGAAGCAGCAGUCUGAUCUCUUCUAGUGUAUAAAUGAACGCACAAUUGUUCACAUUUGUGAUCCUUAUAAUAAGUACUUAAGGUGUUACCACGCAUCGUAAUUAGUCAGACAUCAUUUUUAUGGACAACAGCAAUAUUUAACAUGCCUCUUUAGCACCCUAGAAUAGACAGUGUACAUUCGCAUGUGUUCUGUUGUCGCAAACCACUACAACAUAUGUCACACUUUCUUGCAUUUCAUAUGGCAAAAUUGUGCUUUUUCAAUUUCUGAUUCAGUCAAUAUUUCUGUUCCAGGCAUGCAGUAAUGAGGACGGCACCAGUAUAAAGCAACACACCCCACGCACUAAACAGAAGCUGCUGCCUGCUCCAACAAGGCCAUUGUGUAGACGUUGGCUGCUCCUACAAGAGUCUAUGCCAAGCACAUGUUGGUCAUCACAGGAUCCUAUCUACACCAACAGGAAGGGGCUGUAGCCGAAUUUUCAAGGCUUUCACACCACAAACAAAGAAGCGCAUGCAGAAGAAUUCGUAUGAGAUAUCAAGUCUGCAGAGGACUGUGUCAAGAAUGAAAAGAGCUUCAGCCAUCAUUCCACCAGCACGGACAUUUGGCUGAGUCAUCCAGGUAACUCAGAAGGGACUUUCUAGAAAUUCAUCGUCUUCAGAUGCACCUGCAACUUCUGCCCAAGCACGGACGACUCUGGCCAAAAGAGCCGUCAGUUUGCCUUUAAUCAGCUCCCUGGCCAUGACAAUUCGAUUUCUGCGAAGUGUAAUUUUCCUUCUAUAAAUUCAAGGUUUUUCAUUGCCCAUUGUCGUUAGAGAUCAUUGAUCCUCAUCCAAAUGUAAAGGUCAACCGAUUCUUCGCUGACACUUGAUACCAGUCACUAUCUAGUAGCCUAACGUAUCUGUAGUAGUAUCUUGUAGUGUAUGUUGUCAUGCACAAUUCCUCUCCUGAAAUAGCUGAUGCAGCAUCGGCAUGUGUCUCGCAUUAACCUACGCAUCGUGUGCUAUGAAUUAUUUUACUUGAUGUUAUUAGCCUUCAAUGCUUCCAGAGCACAGUGGCUUCUCUCUUGAAUGCAAGCUUUCUCAUUUUCCAUAUUCCUAGUCUCGUUGAUGAUUCCUCUUCUUCCUCAAUAGCCUGGAUCUUAGCUCAAGCUACACUGAAGUGAUCGACUGCAGAAUCUGGUUUUGCUGCCCCACUUGGUUGUGGUAGCCGGGUUACGUUUCUCGGAUGCGGGGGCCUGGUCAGUUGCAUUGGUAAGCAGUCUCUCGAGGUAAACGUUUGCUCCUGCAGUCCGCGCAGCGACACAGACUCCCAGUAUACACACACCGUGACUGGUGCUCCCCGUUCGUUCUUUCCUACUGCAGCCAUGGGUAAAUUGUGCUUGUUGCCUACCUCGACCAUGAUUUGCUCAAAAUGGAGACCAGCAUAUGUGCUUAUAUGGUUCGAAUUGUGUUGAUAGUCGUAUGGGUGGAAAGGCCCGCAAAAAUGGCUGCCGAAGUUGACGCCCACGAAAGCGACUUGUCCAUAUUGAGACAAAGUGGGACCAGUAACCAGGCUGAUGAUGAUGAUGAAAGCAGUGUGCAGGUUAGAAAGGAGUCCGCUAAAAUGCCGGGUAGUCCAAGUCGCUGUGUAGGCUGCGGCAGCAAAUGCCUGCGUCACCCUAUUGCUUCUUAAUUCAAGUUGCUCAUUUAACGGCGACUGUCGCUGCAAAGAGGUGGGACACUCUGUGCAAUCUGUUUGUACUGCUGGUUGCUGCUCGUUACCAGGCAACCGCAUGCGACGAAGGCAAGCAUUAUGCCUGUAAUUAGGCGGCUGAAUGUAUUUUAAGAGACCCGUGUACGUGAAUGCUCACUGUUGCCAUAUGGUUCGUAGCGAAUGUAUAAUGUAUUUUCUGAACCCUAUGCGGCGAUUGAUUGCUGUUUAAUUUUGCUGUUAUCUGACUUGGUUACGGUCGCUGUGUUAUGCUUUUCGGAUGUAGCAGCCUGCCAUCGGGCUGGAUGGAGCUGGACAGGUUCAAUGCGGAGUUCGCGCUGUUCCAGAUGAGAAGAUUGGUGACGUGCUAAGCACACACAUUCACACCCGACGAGACGCUUUAUCCAGACGACGCAUGGAAGGCUCACCCUUCGGAGGCACGCGGUUUUAUGUUGAGGAGAGUCGACGUGCCCGAAGGAAACGGGGUUGUCGGAAGCGAGAACGCACGUCUUCACAGACGUAUCGUUUACGUCGACGUCCGCGCGUUGUGCAUUUAUCGUAAUGAAGCCGGUAGGAACAAUUGAUGCGGUGUGGAAGUUAAGGUUGACGAUGGCCUCGAGCGCACAUUGCUACGAGGUCGUGGCCAUCAAUGGAGCCCUCAACUACCUGAGCACGCAUGAGUGCGCGCUGCUAGUGUUUAUUUAUCCAGACAGCUUAUCGCUGCUCACCGCAGUUUCGCACGGGGAUACCGGUGACACACGAAUCGCGAAGGUAAAGGAAACGCUGGCUCGGCUGCAAAAGUCGAACACCGUACAUCUGUAUCACGCGUCUGCUCACAGAGGCAUCUUCGGCAAUCAGCUGGCGGAUAUGGCAGCAAACACCGCGUGGACGUCAGAUAUUGACGGACGGUCGCACCGGUCGUUCAGGGUAGUGGUCACCGCGUCUACAGUGGUUUUGCGCGUGCGCUGGGCUAUUGCGUGGCGCGAAGAUCAUAUGGACACCGAGCUGUACAUGUGGGUGCUUGACGUCGCGAACAUACCGCGCGACAUCCCGCCGCCGCGGCAAUUGACGUCUCUCAUUACACCACACAGCCGUUUUCCGUACUAUUUUCACCGAUUCUGCAUUGCGCCGGACCAGAGAUGCCCCUGCGGAGAAAUGUGUAAGGACGUGCAGCACUAUUACGACCAUUGCGCUGUAGCGAAGUGACGCAGCUAUUAGUCUUCAGACGCAUCAGCUCACUAGGGAGACGGCAAUGGGAGGAUGAGCUGCGGCAGGGGCAAGUCCAGGUCCGCAGCUACGAAGACGACGAGAAGUGCCAUUCGAAUAACCGGGUUUAUUAACUUGGCAUUUAGAUUUAUACUCUACACAUCAAAUACUAAACGACGGCGUACCGAUCCUUGACGGCCCGCCUGACGGGCCUUAAAUCCAGAGGUGAAGUGGCCCCGUGUGCUGCUUUCUCCAUGCUCUCCUCAACUACUCAGACCAUUCCUUAACUAAGUUUCUGCAGCAUUCAAGGGACCCGCAGACAGGCGGGAGGAGCUGGCAUCUCCACCAAUGGCCACCACUGGACGCGACAGCCUGCUUGACACAUUCGUACGGUCACGCGCUCUAA